AAAAAAGAAAAGAAAAAGAAAAAGAAAAGAAAGAAAGAAACUGAGGCCAGGGUUUCUAGACAGUGUUUUAGGGACCAGAAGCUAACUAAAAAAUCUUGGAUUCCUGAGUAUGGAGUUUCGAGACUUGGAACCCGAGGAGAUACCCAAGAAAAAGAGGUGUGAGCACGCCAGAAAUUCAGGUGGAAACGGUGACUUGAGGCUGGUGCAUUCCUGUUCAUGACAAAAACCACAAGCACAGACGCUGGUGCGGUCUACAUCUUUAGAACACAAACGUGCCUGCUCGGGGCUGGCACGUGACACAGAGUGGGGGCGAGUCUGGAAUAUGAAUAAAUAAGAGUCUCCA